rnacentral:rRNA from 1 species
AUGGCCGCGUCCUACCCUGGAGCUGCUGCACCGUCCUCAACGUCGGGCCCUGGUGCAUCUGCUGGAUCAUCCCACAUGGCCUACUACACGUCGCCUCCCGUGGCUGAUCAUGCCGCGGCAGUUGCACCGUUCUACUUCGCGCAUCUCAUCCCGGUGAAGCUUACGACAGACAACUAUCUGUCAUGGCGUGCACAGGUGCUGCCGCUUCUCCGCAGUCGCUACCUGGAGGGCUACGUUGACGGUUCCCUGCCAUGUCCUCCACCGCAUCACCCGGCGUAUCAUGCAUGGGUAGCUCAGGAUUAG